rnacentral:lncRNA from 1 species
CAAUUGUCACCAUUCCACAGUUCCUUUUUAUUUAACUCCACUCCUGUCUUGUUAUUUGCAGUUAUAGAUGCUGAAGAAUUUUAAAGCCAAUCCCAGACGUUGUGUCUCCCAUAAAUACCUUUGUAUGUGUCUUUGGAGGUUAUUCUUGAGCUAAGAAGAUAUUUUCUCUGACUGAGAAGGUUAUGCCCUUAAAUCAAGUGAAUAUCUUUGCAGAUAAAGAUGUUCCAAAGGACAUGCAGGAGAAAGGGAUGCUCCCGGGCCUGCCACAUCAGAAGCCAAUCAGAACUACUCAGUGGAGUGGCAGCUCUUGUGGCCAGACGGCCCAGGCAGCCAAGUUUGGCGUUCAAGAACCCGAGCCUCCCCAUCACUUGAUGGAGGGUUCAUAUUUGCUGUUCUGUUGUUCUUGGUUGUGGGAGUAACUCAAAGUCUCAAGUAUGCAAAAACCAGUUGGAAAUGUUUUAAAAGGGCAGCCAAGUAGGCAUUUCUCUUCCAAAUAACAAGCUUGAUUCCACUGUUGGAUUUUUAAAAACUUUUAUUUAUCUUCAUUAAUUAUUUAACUUUGAUUUUCAUGCUUUCUCACUGAAUAAAUAUUCCUAAAUAGGUUAAAAUAACAGGGAAAUGAAAUCACCCAAAGACGUUAGUCACACAGUGUGCUUGGCUGGUGAUAAGACUCUGGGACUGCACGAGGAAACAGCGUUUGCUUCUGGCCCUGCCAUGAGGUUGUUGUGUGACCCUGGAAGCCGUUCACCAUCUCUGGACCGGUUGCUUCCCCCGUCAAACUAAAGGGGGAGGGCUCUCAGGUGGGUAAUUCCUAUUCUUUUGAUGUUCACUUUGUCUCCUUUUUCUUUUGGUAAUGAGACCCUGUAUUUCCUUUGGGGAACCACCCCUCUCCUACAGUCAUUUAUCUCAGUGGGGUCACCACCAUGAGUCUGAGAUGUGGGAUCCCCUCUGUGGCAGUGGGAGUUGGAAAGGACGCUUCUCAUAGCAUGAAAGGAUGAUUAGAAACAUUUUUAUGAAAGUAAAAAUGAUAGCAAGUCAAACAAUUUCUUUUCUUUUCCUUUUUUUUUUGAAAUGGAGUCUCACUCUGUAGCCCAGGCUGGAGUGCAGUGUCCCAAUCUUGGCUCAAUGCAACCUCCGCCUCCUGGGUCCCAGGUCAAGCAAUUCUCCUACCUCAGCCUCCCAAGUAGCUGGGAUUACAGGCACAAGCCACUAUGCCCAGCUAAUUUUUGUAUUUUUUUAGUAGAGACAGGAUUUCACCAUGUUGGCCAGUCUAGUCUUGAACUCCUGACCUCGUGAUCUGCCCACCUCAGCCUCCCAAAGUGUUGGGAUUAGAGGCGUGAGCCACGGUGCCCAGCCAAGUCAAACUAUUUCUUAUCUUCUAUGUUAGUCAGCUA